rnacentral:rRNA from 1 species
CCUACGGGAGGCAGCAGUGGGGAAUUUUGGACAAUGGGCGCAAGCCUGAUCCAGCAAUGCCGCGUGAGUGAAGAAGGCCUUCGGGUUGUAAAGCUCUUUUGUCAGGGAAGAAACGGUGAAGGCUAAUAUCUUUUGCUAAUGACGGUACCUGAAGAAUAAGCACCGGCUAACUACGUGCCAGCAGCCGCGGUAAUACGUAGGGUGCAAGCGUUAAUCGGAAUUACUGGGCGUAAAGCGUGCGCAGGCGGUUUUGUAAGUUUGUCGUGAAAUCCCCGGGCUCAACCUGGGAAUGGCGAUGAAGACUGCAAGGCUAGAAUCUGGCAGAGGGGGGUAGAAUUCCACGUGUAGCAGUGAAAUGCGUAGAGAUGUGGAGGAACACCGAUGGCGAAGGCAGCCCCCUGGGUCAAGAUUGACGCUCAUGCACGAAAGCGUGGGGAGCAAACAGGAUUAGAUACCCUGGUAGUCCACGCCCUAAACGAUGUCUACUAGUUGUCGGGUUUUAAUUAACUUGGUAACGCAGCUAACGCGUGAGUAGACCGCCUGGGGAGUCGGUCGCAAGNUUAAAACUCAAAUUGAAUUGACGGCUUGNGNGNGCGACGACGACGACGAGGGAGGAGG